rnacentral:rRNA from 1 species
UACAGAGGUCUCGAGCGUUGUUCGGAUUCAUUGGGCGUAAAGGGUGCGUAGGUGGCGUGGUAAGUCUGGUGUGAAAUCCCGGGGCUCAACCCCGGAACUGCACUGGAUACUGCCAUGCUUGAGUACUGGAGAGGAGAUUGGAAUUUACGGUGUAGCAGUGAAAUGCGUAGAUAUCGUAAGGAAGACCAGUGGCGAAGGCGAAUCUCUGGACAGUUCCUGACGCUGAGGCAACGGAAGGUCAGGGGAGCAAACGGG